AGGGCUACCUGGGGAGAGGGAGGUGAGCUACAGCAGAGAGAAGACAUCUCCUGGGUGGUAGGCUGCUCUCCUCCUUAUAGAGGAAGCAACGGGACUGACUGACUGUUUGGGGAAGGACUGGCAUCCAAAGGCCAGCAUAACAAGGCAACACCCUGGAGAGGGGGUAGGGAGAGAAGCCCAGCAGCAGUGAGCUAGGGCAUGAGAACCGGGAAAUGAAACCAGCUAGAAACAAGUGAAACUGACCUGCCUAUGUUAACAGUCCAAGGUGAGUGAGGACCAAAAAGAAGACAAACAGCAUACAGGUAAGCUAGAUUAUUCUUAAUUAUCUAAGUUGUUGCUUUUCCUUCUGGAUCUACUUCUCCUCAGGAGUGUCAGGACUGACAUAAUUCACUGUGAAACUGGGACUCUGGAAGUUAAAAAUUUUUACCAGCAUCUGAAUGAUCCUCUCAGUUCUCUGUCAUUGUAACGGAUUGGAUAUCACUCCUCAAGUCAUCUUUGAUAUAGAUCAAAGUUACUGAGAAGACAGGGAAUGAAGCUGAAGGAGAUAUAUUCAUGUUACCUUUAAAACUGCCAUUGAAGGAGGAUAGCCUUGUGUCUUGCAGUGACAACAAAUAAUCCCCUAAUUGGGAUAAGGCCAUUAAUAUGCACAUAUAAGGAGCUGUUUGAGAGGCAAAGGUAUGGGAGAGCGAACUGGAAACACAAAGAUUGCACAGCUAGAGUGAGUCUUUCAUUAAAUAUUGUAUACAAUGGGUAUUGUGCCAGGCCCCAACCUAGCAAAUGUCCAGACUACUGCACCUGAGCAAACAUUAUUGUUCCUAUGCAAAUACAAUGUGUGACACUCUGGCCAAUAUGGUAAUGUAGAAUCAUACAUCAUGCCCUAAAGUGACCAAAGGGUGUAACUGGGAGGCAUUUCCUGAGAGGAGGUGGCUCAUAUCAGAAGCUGGGAGAUGCAAACUGACAACAGGAGAAGGACGGGACGUCAACAGUUUGAAGAACAAAUCCAGGUUCUCAAAGGACAUGAGCAUUUGGUUCUCCAGCUUAUUUCUUCUUAAAUGUUUGGGGCCUACCUAGGUGAGGCUGGGUAGGAGUCCUAAGGAUGUUUCAGACAAUUUAUCUUUUUGUUUUUCUCUCAAUUUUUGAAUAAACCUUUUUCUUCAUGUUGGAUAUUUUCUUAGUCCUGGACUGCUCUUGGGAAAUUUCAUUGUAAUUUAUUCUUAAACAUGAGGAGAAAUAAGUUCUGAGUUCUAGUGAGGGCAAUGACAUUCGACCUGGGUCAUUUGCUCAAAGGUACAGAUCAAAAGACUGCCCAUCCCCCUGAUGAGCUGCCAACAUUCUGAGGCACCCAGUGAAGUGCACUGGGGAAGCCUGAGGGCUACUUGUUCCAGAAAGACCUGGGUGCCUCAGAGGGACAUCUGAGCCCACUCGGCCUUUCCUUCCACUCCCCAAAGAGAGUUCUCGGUAUGGAUUGCUUCUGGACUAACAUCAACUGCCUGUUCACUCUCCUCAAGACAGCCCCUUCGUCCUAAGGAAGCAAGCAGGAUAAUAAUAUUCCACGGUACCUGCCCAUUCAAUUUCACAAUUAUCCAAGUUUCAAGCGAUGCUUCCAAGUUACAAGCUGCUGCUUUUAGAAUUACUAGAGUGCAGGUAACCUCGCCAAGUAUACUUCAUUCUUCCUUUGAAAAGGAGCAAAUGUGCAGCCAAAACUGCACACUGGUCAUUCAUACUUCUAACUAAUUGAGCUAUGCGGUAAGGAGACACUGAUGAUUGGAGAGCUAGUUCACUGAAGAAGCCGAGUUUUUGAAAAGUCCUUUGCAUGUUCCCUUUAAGAAAAGGGCCACUCCAAUAAUUCAACUGAUUGCUGUCUUGAUCUUGUAAAGAUAUGGAAGUGCAUUAGUUGCUGUCUCAUGUGGACCUACCUGCUUUUUAUUAUUAUUAUUAUUAUUAUUUAUUUGUUUUAUUAUAACUUGACUUCUUUUUAAUAUUGUUUUUUACUUGUUUGACACUCGUCUUUUGUGAUUUUCACAGGAAUAUUAACUAGUGAUAUUACUGAUUCUUUCGUACUAAAGGUGGCUGGACUGCUGAGUAACUGCAGCUCCUUUUGACCUCAGUUACAGUUGGGUACACUCUAUUCUUUUGAAAAUCUGGCCCUAUCUAAUUCUGUUCCAGCGGGCAUGUGAUGUGAACAGCAUAAUCUAAUAGUACAACAAUUUAUCACUGACGUACUGGACAGGCUGGCUUCUUUGACCUGAAAGGAAGUUAAUCAGACUUCUUGGCCCUGCUUUUGCCGGCUAUGAUGGCUUGAUUGCCAUUCAGAGAGCUGCUGGUGGAAACUGAUUCUAAUAUUAAGCACUAUGAGCAAGGGAUUGACUAAACUGAUGGAACAGAUAUUGGGGAGGUGUUGUUUUGUUUGUGUGUUUUUUUUAAACACUAUAAGCAUGUUGAACAUUGAUAGCCACAGUUAAAAAUGAAUAUAAACAAAAUAAUGUAUUUUGGUAUAAUUAGGCUAAUUAUGAUGGGAAGUUGGUUUUAACUAAACACCUGUUACCAUUCUCUGAUUGAAUUAAAUAGUUGUAAACCUCUGGGGUGCUCCUUCUUUUUCUUUCUUGCUAAAAUCAAUCUGUGCCGGAGGAUUUUGCAAUGU